GUGUUCAUUGAAAGGAGAGAAGGUCAGUAUCUCCCUUUUUACGUGGAUGGGAACCGUCUUAGGGUGGACCUACUAGACGGGGGCCACAUUUGAGCUUACUCGUUAACACAUCUGUUU